AGAGUUUGAUCAUGGCUCAGGAUGAACGCUGGCGGCGUGCUUAACACAUGCAAGUCGAACGAACCUUCGGGUGAGUGGCGGACGGGUGAGUAACGCGUGGGAAUCUGCCCUCAGGAGGGGGAUAACGACUGGAAACGGUCGCUAAUACCCCAUAUGCCGAGAGGUGAAAUGAAUUUCGCCUGAGGAUGAGCCCGCGUCUGAUUAGCUAGUUGGUGAGGUAAGAGCUCACCAAGGCGACGAUCAGUAGCUGGUCUGAGAGGAUGAUCAGCCACACUGGGACUGAGACACGGCCCAGACUCCUACGGGAGGCAGCAGUGGGGAAUUUUCCGCAAUGGGCGAAAGCCUGACGGAGCAACGCCGCGUGAGGGAUGAAGGCCUCUGGGCUGUAAACCUCUUUUCUCAAGGAAGAAGAUCUGACGGUACUUGAGGAAUAAGCCACGGCUAAUUCCGUGCCAGCAGCCGCGGUAAUACGGAAGUGGCAAGCGUUAUCCGGAAUCAUUGGGCGUAAAGCGUCCGCAGGUGGCUUUGUAAGUCUGCCGUUAAAGCGUGGAGCUCAACUCCAUUUCAGCGGUGGAAACUACAAAGCUUGAGUGUGGUAGGGGCAGAGGGAAUUCCCGGUGUAGCGGUGAAAUGCGUAGAUAUCGGGAAGAACACCAGUGGCGAAGGCGCUCUGCUGGGCCAUAACUGACACUCAUGGACGAAAGCCAGGGGAGCGAAAGGGAUUAGAUACCCCUGUAGUCCUGGCCGUAAACGAUGAACACUAGGCGUCGGGGGAAUCGACCCCCUCGGUGUCGUAGCCAACGCGUUAAGUGUUCCGCCUGGGGAGUACGCACGCAAGUGUGAAACUCAAAGGAAUUGACGGGGGCCCGCACAAGCGGUGGAGUAUGUGGUUUAAUUCGAUGCAACGCGAAGAACCUUACCAGGGUUUGACAUCCUGCGAACCCCUGAGAAAUCGGGGGGUGCCUUCGGGAACGCAGUGACAGGUGGUGCAUGGCUGUCGUCAGCUCGUGUCGUGAGAUGUUGGGUUAAGUCCCGCAACGAGCGCAACCCACGUCUUUAGUUGCCAGCAUUUAGUUGGGCACUCUAGAGAGACCGCCGGUGAUAAACCGGAGGAAGGUGUGGAUGACGUCAAGUCAUCAUGCCCCUUACAUCCUGGGCUACACACGUACUACAAUGCUACGGACAAAGGGCAGCGAACUCGCGAGAGCAAGCAAAUCCCAUAAACCGUGGCUCAGUUCAGAUCGUAGGCUGCAACUCGCCUACGUGAAGGAGGAAUCGCUAGUAAUCGCAGGUCAGCAUACUGCGGUGAAUACGUUCCCGGGCCUUGUACACACCGCCCGUCACACCAUGGAAGUUAGCCACGCCCGAAGUCGUUACUCCAACCCUUGUGGAGGAGGAUGCCGAAGGUGGGGCUGAUGACUGGGGUGAAGUCGUAACAAGGUAACC
rnacentral:rRNA from 1 species